UGCGGUUGAAAAGCUCGUAGUUGGAUUUUGGGCGGGCGCGGCCGGUCCGUCGCAGGGCGUGUUACUGGCCGCGUCUGCCUCACCUUCGGUUCUCUGUCGGUGCUCUUGACUGAGUGUCGGCGGUGUCCGAUAAGUUUACUUUGAAAAAAUUAGAGUGUUCAAAGCAGGCUGCUCGCCUGAAUAGUGUUGCAUGGAAUAAUGGAAUAGGACCUCGGUUCUAUUUUGCUGGUUUUCGGAGCACGAGGUAAUGAUUAAGAGGGACAGACGGGGGCGUCCGUACUCUGCCGUUAGAGGUGAAAUUCUUGGAUCGGCGGAAGACGAACUACUGCGAAAGCAUUCGCCAAGAAUGUUUUCUUUAAUCAAGAGCGAAAGUCAGAGGUUCGAAGACGAUCAGAUACCGUCCUAGUUCUGACUAUAAACGAUGCCAACUAGCGAUCGGGAGGCGUUACCAUGACGACCUUCCCGGCAGCUUCCGGGAAACCAAAGUCUUUGGGUUCCGGGGGAAGUAUGGUUGCAAAGCUGAAACUUAAAGGAAUUGACGGAAGGGCACCACCAGGAGUGGAGCCUGCGGCUUAAUUUGACU
rnacentral:rRNA from 1 species